rnacentral:rRNA from 1 species
UACGGAAGGUCCGGGCGUUAUCCGGAUUUAUUGGGUUUAAAGGGAGCGUAGGCCGGCUUUUAAGUCAGCUGUGAAAGUCCGCGGCUCAACCGUGGAAUUGCAGUUGAAACUGGAGGCCUUGAGUGCACACAGGGGUGCCGGAAUUCAUGGUGUAGCGGUGAAAUGCGUAGAGAUAUGGAGGAACACCAGUGGCGAAGGCGGCUUCCUGGUCUGCAACUGACACUGAGGCGCGAAAGCGUGGGGAGCAAACAGG